UGGCGUUAGCCCGUAUAAAGCUAAGCCGGUGUUUUUGUUGGAUCAUUCCUCCCGUGCAUUCGGUGCAAAGCAGCAGUAAAUGCUGGCACACUGCGACGGACUGAUCAACAAGAGCAGAUCAUAUGACAGCUACAGGUAUGCUCUCGCUUAACCUCAGAUUCCCUCCGAGUACUGGAAUUUGUGUUAAUAUAGUUUUUGCGGCCUGUUGUAGCGCGGCAGUUUGUUCUACUCCGACGUUGCGGAGAGAGGUGCUCGUGUUAUCCCCACCAGUGAGAGUAUAGUGCCUCCGGUCCUGGGGGUUUGACUGCUGUAUUCACCUCUCCGUGGCAAAUCGCCCAACCUAAAUCGGAAGAGUGAAACGCCUUCCCAGCCGCUGUUGUGAGGACUCCUCCUCAGUGGAGCCUGCUGUCUCGUCUUGUCUUGCCUUGUCUUGUCUCAUCUUAUCGUGUUUUUAAUAAGUAGGCUUACCUUUUUCUGGUUUGCCUGGUUUUAUUCUGGACUGUUGCUUGUACCCACGCUUCUGUGAUCGGGCUGAAGCGACCCUCUGCCCGAGUGUGGUGCUGGGACUUUAAAUCGCCUUGGUUGCCGGUCUCAGCCGGUGGGGAGCCAGACCGGCUUGCGAUUGAGAAUAAUUACUACCAGCACGAGUGUGAACGGAGGACGUGCCAGUGGCCCUGGGACCUCAGGUGGUGGGUCGUUUUCACACUUUCUUUUGUACAGCACCGGGUGGGCUGCAGUGAUUUUCUUUUUGUGUGAUUUUCUUUUGGUUCCACGGCUGCUGGUAAGUCCAAGUUCCAUGAUUGUUUUAUUUUCACUUUAGGACACUGUCAACAAUGACGCUCACAUCUUGGUUUUU